UACAGAGGUCUCAAGCGUUGUUCGGAUUCAUUGGGCGUAAAGGGUGCGUAGGUGGCGUGGUAAGUCGGGUGUGAAAUUUCGGAGCUUAACUCCGAAACUGCAUUCGAUACUGCCGUGCUUGAGGACUGGAGAGGAGACUGGAAUUUACGGUGUAGCAGUGAAAUGCGUAGAUAUCGUAAGGAAGACCAGUGGCGAAGGCGGGUCUCUGGACAGUUCCUGACGCUGAGGCACGAAAGCGUGGGUAGCAAACAGG
rnacentral:rRNA from 1 species